GACGAACGCUGGCGGCGUGCUUAACACAUGCAAGUCGAACGGAAAGGCCCUGCUUUUGUGGGGUGCUCGAGUGGCGAACGGGUGAGUAACGCGUGAGUAACCUGCCCUUGACUUUGGGAUAACUUCAGGAAACUGGGGCUAAUACCGGAUAGGAGCUCCUGCUGCAUGGUGGGGGUUGGAAAGUUUCGGCGGUUGGGGAUGGACUCGCGGCUUAUCAGCUUGUUGGUGGGGUAGUGGCUUACCAAGGCUUUGACGGGUAGCCGGCCUGAGAGGGUGACCGGCCACAUUGGGACUGAGAUACGGCCCAGACUCCUACGGGAGGCAGCAGUGGGGAAUAUUGCACAAUGGGCGGAAGCCUGAUGCAGCAACGCCGCGUGCGGGAUGACGGCCCUCGGGUUGUAAACCGCUUUCGCCUGUGACGAAGCGUGAGUGACGGUAAUGGGUAAAGAAGCACCGGCUAACUACGUG
rnacentral:rRNA from 1 species